rnacentral:rRNA from 1 species
UUUGAGAGUUUGAUCCUGGCUCAGGAUGAACGCUGGCGGUAUGCCUAACACAUGCAAGUUGAACGCAAAUUUUUUAAAUUUGAGUAGCGAACGGGUGAGUAACACGUGAGAAUCUGCCUCUAGGAGGGGUAUAA